GACGAACGCUGGCGGCGUGCUUAACACAUGCAAUUCGAACGGAAAGGCCCUGCUUGCAGGGUCCUCGAGUGGCGAACGGGUGAGUAACACGUGGGUGAUCUGCCCUUCACUUCGGGAUAAGCCUGGGAAACUGGGUCUAAUACCGGAUAGGAGCCAUUUUUAGUGUGAUGGUUGGAAAGUUUUUUCGGUGUAGGAUGAGCUCGCGGCCUAUCAGCUUGUUGGUGGGGUAAUGGCCUACCAAGGCGGCGACGGGUAGCCGGCCUGAGAGGGUGGACGGCCACAUUGGGAAUGAGAUACGGCCCAGACUCCUACGGGAGGAAGAAGUGGGGAAUAUUGCACAAUGGGAGCAAGCAUGAUGCAGCGACGCCGCGUGGGGGAUGACGGCCGUCGGGUUGUAAACUCCUUUCGCUAGGGACGAAGCUAUUUGUGACGGUACCUAGAUAAGAAGCACCGGCUAACUACGUG
rnacentral:rRNA from 1 species